rnacentral:rRNA from 1 species
AACAAGGUCUCCGUUGGUGAACCAGCGGAGGGAUCAUUACUGAGUUUACGCUCUAUAACCCUUUGUGAACAUACCUAUAACUGUUGCUUCGGCGGGCAGGGUCUCCGUGACCCUCCCGGCCUCCCGCCCCCGGGCGGGUCGGCGCCCGCCGGAGGAUAACCAAACUCUGAUUUAACGACGUUUCUUCUGAGUGGUACAAGCAAAUAAUCAAAACUUUUAACAACGGAUCUCUUGGUUCUGGCAUCGAUGAAGAACGCAGCGAAAUGCGAUAAGUAAUGUGAAUUGCAGAAUUCAGUGAAUCAUCGAAUCUUUGAACGCACAUUGCGCCCGCCAGCAUUCUGGCGGGCAUGCCUGUUCGAGCGUCAUUUCAACCCUCAAGCUCUGCUUGGUGUUGGGGCCCUACAGCUGAUGUAGGCCCUCAAAGGUAGUGGCGGACCCUCCCGGAGCCUCCUUUGCGUAGUAACUUUACGUCUCGCACUGGGAUCCGGAGGGACUCUUGCCGUAAAACCCCCCAAUUUUCCAAAGGUUGACCUCGGAUCAGGUAGGAAUACCCGCUGAACUUAAGCA